GGCUUUAUAUUCAUUUAAUGAUAAUAGAAUGCAAUUCUGUAGGAGUAGUUUAAGUUUGCUGCUAAGGCUU
rnacentral:tRNA from 1 species